GUGCUUCCAUCACUCGCUGCCCCAGUCCCCAGCCCUGCGGGGUGGAGGGGAAUCUGAAAUGCCGCUCCUUGCCCUCUCUGGAUGCACUGGAUGCGUCGGCUCCUGCGGGUGCUGCAAGCUCCCUAAAGCCAGGCUCUUCCUGCUCUGCCGACCCCGGCUCACGGCGGUGUGUUGCUUUCCAGGGACUCCUGCGCCCUUCUCUGGCCAGCACCCCUCAAGCCUUGGACGAGACGCUGCUUCCUCUGGUUCGUCCACCCGCGCAAGAUGGAAGGACAGAGCCUGCAAGCGGCACAAGGCAUGGAUCCAUCAUUUCUGCAAUAAGUAACGGCCAGUGCCGCUGGCCCCCAGCCGUGGGGCUCCGGUCCAGAGCAGCCCUGAGGCGGCCCCGGAGUGACAGGGCCAGGCCCCGUUUCUGCUGCUAGCAAGAAGCCGUGCUGGGUGGCAGCGCCUGGCGUGGGACAGGGGAGCCCUUCCUGCUGGAAGAGUGCCCCAGCCAGGGCUCAUGAGCCUCUGGGCAUCUGUGCAGCGUUUCCAUCCUGGCUCUAUUUUGCCACGUUCCCUAAGGUGUAACCUUUUGCUCCAGCCCUGGCAGUCUCUCCCCUCCCUUCUUAUGCCCUUUCCCAUGUUGGGGAGCUGCGGUGCUGUCUCCCCUGACGCCGUUCAGCGGGAGCGGGGCAGAGGCUGCUGGAGCCAGGGGUCCCCUGAGAGCUGCUCUCCCCUGCCCCGGGGGUCCUCACCACCCCCAGGACGGCUUUGCUGCUGGGUCUUGUACUCGCUGAGCCUUGUGUGUGUUGGGUGCAGUCGAAAUUACCCAAAACCCCACAAAUACUGAAACGUUCUUUAAUGAAAUCACACUUUGUUUUUAUAUUGGAGCUGUUACAGCACCUCCUGCCUUCUAAACUGCAAUGUACAUGGCUGUGACUAAACCUGUUCUCUUUGGGUUUUUUUCUUCCCGAAGGAGGAGGACCACAGAGAUGCCGAGUGGCCUUUUGGAC